rnacentral:rRNA from 1 species
GACGAACGCUGGCGGCGUGCCUAAUACAUGCAAGUCGAACGCUUUUUCUUUCACCGGAGCUUGCUCCAYCGAAAGAARAGGAGUGGCGAACGGGUGAGUAACACGUGGGUAACCUGCCCAUCAGAAGGGGAUAACACUUGGAAACAGGUGCUAAUACCGUAUAACAGUAGAAACCGCAUGGUUUCUAUUUGAAAGGCGCUUUUGCGUCACUGAUGGAUGGACCCGCGGUGCAUUAGCUAGUUGGUGAGGUAACGGCUCACCAAGGCAACGAUGCAUAGCCGACCUGAGAGGGUGAUCGGCCACAUUGGGACUGAGACACGGCCCAAACUCCUACGGGAGGCAGCAGUAGGGAAUCUUCGGCAAUGGACGAAAGUCUGACCGAGCAACGCCGCGUGAGUGAAGAAGGUUUUCGGAUCGUAAAACUCUGUUGUUAGAGAAGAACAAGGAUGAGARUAAAAYGUUCAUCCCUUGACGGUAUCUAACCAGAAAGCCACGGCUAACUACGUGCCAGCAGCCGCGGUAAUACGUAGGUGGCAAGCGUUGUCCGGAUUUAUUGGGCGUAAAGCGAGCGCAGGCGGUUUCUUAAGUCUGAUGUGAAAGCCCCCGGCUCAACCGGGGAGGGUCAUUGGAAACUGGGAAACUUGAGUGCAGAAGAGGAGAGUGGAAUUCCAUGUGUAGCGGUGAAAUGCGUAGAUAUAUGGAGGAACACCAGUGGCGAAGGCGGCUCUCUGGUCUGUAACUGACGCUGAGGCUCGAAAGCGUGGGGAGCAAACAGGAUUAGAUACCCUGGUAGUCCACGCCGUAAA